AGUACACAUCCGCCGCCCUGCAUAGAGGGUGGAGCCUAAGGACGCAUGUGCGAGAAGCUCAACAGUUUCUCUCGUUAAUCUGCUUUUGCCCUCUUUUUUCCUGAGUGGUCUGAGGAACUCAUUCAUUCACUUCUACGAGAUGAGACUGCCGUGGCCCCUAACCCGCAUUUUAUUGUGACCAUGGUUAUUCCGAAACCUUGCAGGGGAUCAAAUUACUUGGUGGUGCUCAGAGAAUUCUUACUAAACCUUGAAGUCAUUCUAACCGAGAGGGCCAACAACAAUGUCAGAAGUUACUGCUGCUGAGCCUCUCAAACAAUCCUGGCCCCCCAACUUUAAUGGCAUUCAAACAGUAUGUGCUACGCUGCUUAAAAUGGAAUGGAAAUCAUAUAUUCUUGCCAUUACUAGAAGAGAUUAGUGUUGAAGAUGAAAGGACUGUCUCAGAAGAGCAAGUAUGAC
rnacentral:lncRNA from 1 species